rnacentral:tRNA from 2 species
GGGCUAUUAGCUCAGUGGGGCGAGGUCUCUGGUUCAAGUCCAGGAUGGCCCA